GUUCGAUUAGCUCAGGUGGGAGAGCGUUGUAGGUGUGUAGGUAUACUAAACCAUGUACUGGGCCUACGAAGGUUAGGAGUUCAAAUCUCCUAUCGGACA
rnacentral:tRNA from 1 species